CACUGACACAUGUUUAAUUAUGCCGGAUGAUUUCUACCUCAAUAAUGCUAAAGGUACAUGUAUAUUCUCAUACAGGUCCUGUUGUGAAUAUUUCUGGAUCUCUUGUAACUAUAGUAUACAUGUGGUAUGUUUUUGUGUAAGUGUGUUAUGUUUUGUAUAAGUGUGGUGUUUUGUGUAAGUGUGGUAUGUUUUAUGUUAGUGUGGUAUGUGUAAGUGUAAUGUGUUUUGUGUAAGUGCGGUAUGUGUUUUGUGUAAAUGUGGUAUGUUUUGUGUUAGUGUGGAAUGUGUAAGUGUGGUAUGUUUAGUGUAAGUGUGGUAUGUGUAAAUGUGGUAUGAUUUGUGUAAGUGUGGUAUGUUUUGUGUACGUGUAAUGUGUUCUGUGUAAGCAUGUUUUGUUUUGUGUAAGAUUGGUUUGAGGACCAAGGGGAAUCUACACUGGCAUAGCCUACCAUCUGAUAAUGGAAUAUACAGUGUAAUUGCAUCAUUAAAUUCAACACCUGCACAAAAACCGUAACCUUCAGCGAUACAGAUGUCAAUAAUGGGGGACUAUAAAAGCCCCCUCAUUACUCUUCAAGCGAUGUAAUAUAUGAACAUAAAUAAUCCAACUUUGUGCCCUUGACAUGUUGUAAAUCAAUCCAAUGAAGCAAUAUCAUAAUCUGACAACAAAACAUGAUAACGGGAUGGCGAUCAUAACACUUCUCCACAAAUAGCUGAUUAUUUUAGCUGCUGUUUCAUUGUAGUAAGUAAACUCUGAUGAUGUAGAUAUCUACAUUGAAAUGAAGAUUCUGUUAUCAGUCCUGAUUAAUACAGGUGUUGAUGACCAAGAAUUACAUAUGAUACAAUCAUCCACAUACAGAAACAUCUCCAGAACUGUACACAGUAAGACGGUGAUUCCUUACCCAGGUAUGUAACAUCUCCAGUAAGACACUAUUGUAUACAGUGAUUCCUUACCCAGGUAUGUAACAUCUCCAGUAAGACAUUAUUGUAUACAGUGAUUCCUUACCCAGGUAUGUAACAUCUCCAGUAAGACAUUGUACAGUGAUUCCUUACCCAGGUAUGUAACAUCUCCAGUAAGACAUUAUUGUACAGUGAUUCCUUACUCAGGUAUGUAACAUCUCCAGUAAGACAUUAUACAGUGAUUCCUUACCCAGGUAUGUAACAUCUCCAGUAAGACAUUGUUGUACAGUGAUUCCUUACCCAGGUAUGUAACAUCUCCAGUAAGACAUUAUUGUAUACAGUGAUUCCUUACCCAGGUAUGUAACAUCUCCAGUAAGACAUUAUUGUACAGUGAUUCCUUACCCAGGUAUGUAACAUCUCCAGUAAGACAUUGUACAGUGAUUCCUUACCCAGGUAUGUAACAUCUCCAGUAAGACAUCAUUGUAUACAGUGAUUCCUUACCCAGGUAUGUAACAUCUCCAGUAAGACAUCAUUGUAUACAGUGAUUCCUUACCCAGGUAUGUAACAUCUCCAGUAAGACAUCAUUGUAU